AGAGCGUAUGGUGGAUGCCUUGGCACUAAGAGCCGAUGAAAGACGUGAUAAGCUGCGAAAAGCUUCGGGGAGGAGCAAAUAUCCUUUGAUCCGGAGAUCUCUGAAUGGGGAAACCUACUUGAGCAAACCUCAAGUAUCCUUAAGCCAAUACAUAACUUAAGGAAGGGAACCCGGUGAACUGAAACAUCUAAGUAGCCGGAGGAAGAGAAAACAACAUGUGAUUCUGUGAGUAGCGGCGAGCGAAAACGGAAGAGCCCAAACCGGGAUGCGUGCAUCCCGGGGUUCGGACCGCAUAAUUGAUUCAACAAAUUUAGCAGAACGGUUUUGGGAAAGCCGGCCAGAGAGGGUGAAAGCCCCGUAAGCGAAAGAUGAGUUGACAUGGCGGUAUCCAGAGUAGGUCGAGACACGUGGAACCUUGACUGAACAUGCGGGGACCACCCCGUAAGGCUAAAUACUCCUUAGUGACCGAUAGCGCAUAGUACUGUGAAGGAACGGUGAAAAGGACCCCGGGAGGGGAGUGAAACAGAACCUGAAACCAUAUGUUUACAAGCUGUGGAACCAUGUUUUAUGUGGAACCGCGUACUUUUUGUAGAACGGUCCGGCGAGUUGCGCUGGCUGGCGAGGUUAAGCACCAAAGGUGUGGAGCCGAAGGGAAACCAAGUCUUAAUAGGGCGAAUGAGUCAGUCGGAGCAGACCCGAAACCGGGUGAUCUAUCCAUGUCCAGGUUGAAGUUGCCGUAAAAGGCAAUGGAGGACCGAACCCACAUCCGUUGAAAAGGGUGGGGAUGAGGUGUGGAUAGGGGAGAAAUUCCAAUCGAACCCGGAGAUAGCUGGUUCUCCUCGAAAUAGCUUUAGGGCUAGCCUCAUACAAGUCUUGCGGAGGUAGAGCACUGAAUUUCCUAGGGGGCGUCAAAGCUUACCGAAGAAUAUCAAACUCCGAAUGCCGUGUAGAUGUUGUAUGGGAGUCAGACUGUACGAGAUAAGUUGGACAGUCAAAAGGGAAAGAGCCCAGACCUGCAGCUAAGGCCCCAAAAUGUGUGUUAAGUGGAAAAGGAUGUGGGAUUUCAAAGACAACUAGGAUGUUGGCUUAGAAGCAGCCAUACAUUCAAAGAGUGCGUAAUAGCUCACUAGUCGAGAGGUCCUGCGCCGAAAAUGUCCGGGGCUGAAACACACUGCCGAAGCUCAGGAAUUAACUGAUGUUAAUUGGUAGAGGAGCAUUGUAUACGGGACGAAGCAGUACCGAUAAGGAGCUGUGGACUGUAUAGAAGAGAGAAUGCCGGAAUGAGUAGCGAGAGGAAGGUGAGAAUCCUUCCGGCCGAAUAUCCAAGGUUUCCAGAGUAAAGCUGAUCUGCUCUGGGUAAGUCGGGGCCUAAGGAGAGGCAGAGAUGCGUAUCCGAUGGACAGCAGGUUUAAGAUUCCUGCACCCCUUGUUAUCAGAACUGCGGGGACACGGGAAGGGAAGCAGAGCCGGGAAUGGAAAGCCCGGUGCAAGCGAAGUAGUCGCAGGGUUGGAAAAUCCGCCCUGCAUAAGACGAAGGCGUGAUGCGGAGCGAAAUGAAGUAGUGAAGCUGCGGCCCCUUCCUGUCGAGAAAAGCCGCUAUCGUGUAGCAAGGGCCCGUACCGUAAACCGACACAGGUGGAUGAGGAGAGGAUCCUAAGGCCGGCGGGAGAAGUGUUGUUAAGGAACUCGGCAAAAUGACUCCGUAACUUCGGGAGAAGGAGUGCUGCGCAAGCAGCCGCAGAGAAAUGGCCCAAGCAACUGUUUAGCAAAAACACAGGUCUAUGCGAAACCGAAAGGUGAGGUAUAUGGGCUGACGCCUGCCCGGUGCUGGAAGGUUAAGGGGAGAGGUUAGCGCAAGCGAAGCUUUGAACUUAAGCCCCAGUAAACGGCGGCCGUAACUAUAACGGUCCUAAGGUAGCGAAAUUCCUUGUCGGGUAAGUUCCGACCCGCACGAAAGGCGUAAUGAUUUGGGCACUGUCUCAACAACACACCCGGUGAAAUUGAAAUACCAGUGAAGAUGCUGGUUACCCGCGCCAGGACGGAAAGACCCCAUGGAGCUUUACUCCAGCCUGAUACUGGGAUUCGGUAUUGCAUGUACAGGAUAGGUGGGAGGCUAAGAACUCAUGGCGCCAGCCGUGAGGGAGCCGAUGUUGGGAUACCACCCCUGCAGUACUGGGUUUCUAACCUGCGCCCGUGACCCGGGCGGGGGACAAUGUCAGGCGGGGAGUUUGACUGGGGCGGUCGCCUCCGAAAGGGUAUC
rnacentral:rRNA from 1 species